rnacentral:rRNA from 1 species
UAGGGAAUCUUCCGCAAUGGGCGAAAGCUUGACGGAGCAACGCCGCGUGAGUGAUGAAGGUCUUCGGAUCGUAAAACUCUGUUAUUAGGGAAGAACAAAUGUGUAAGUAACUAUGCACGUCUUGACGGUACCUAAUCAGAAAGCCACGGCUAACUACGUGCCAGCAGCCGCGGUAAUACGUAGGUGGCAAGCGUUAUCCGGAAUUAUUGGGCGUAAAGCGCGCGUAGGCGGUUUUUUAAGUCUGAUGUGAAAGCCCACGGCUCAACCGUGGAGGGUCAUUGGAAACUGGAAAACUUGGGUGCAGAAGGGGAAGGUGGAAUUCCAUGUGUAGCGGUGAAAUGCGCAGAGAUAUGGAGGAACACCAGUGGCGAAGGCGACUUUCUGGUCUGUAACUGACGCCAAUGUGCAAAAGCGUGGGGAUCAAACAGG